rnacentral:rRNA from 1 species
GAGCAAUCUGUGUGACUGCGUACCUUUUGUAUAAUGGGUCAGCGACUUAUAUUCUGUAGCAAGGUUAACCGAAUAGGGGAGCCGAAGGGAAACCGAGUCUUAACUGGGCGUUAAGUUGCAGGGUAUAGACCCGAAACCCGGUGAUCUAGCCAUGGGCAGGUUGAAGGUUGGGUAACACUAACUGGAGGACCGAACCGACUAAUGUUGAAAAAUUAGCGGAUGACUUGUGGCUGGGGGUGAAAGGCCAAUCAAACCGGGAGAUAGCUGGUUCUCCCCGAAAGCUAUUUAGGUAGCGCCUCGUGAAUUCAUCUCCGGGGGUAGAGCACUGUUUCGGCAAGGGGGUCAUCCCGACUUACCAACCCGAUGCAAACUGCGAAUACCGGAGAAUGUUAUCACGGGAGACACACGGCGGGUGCUAACGUCCGUCGUGAAGAGGGAAACAACCCAGACCGCCAGCUAAGGUCCCAAAGUCAUGGUUAAGUGGGAAACGAUGUGGGAAGGCCCAGACAGCCAGGAUGUUGGCUUAGAAGCAGCCAUCAUUUAAAGAAAGCGUAAUAGCUCACUGGUCGAGUC